rnacentral:lncRNA from 1 species
GUACAAAAUUCUGCUAACUGUAACUAAGACUGAUGGAAGUAAGGGAAAUAACCCUGUAUGUGGAAAAGUAGGAGAUAUGUAAGAAAGAUAUAAGGAAUGGGAAUGCAUUUUGUUGAAGGAGAAGAAGGUAAUUUUGUCCUAAAUGAGAUGGUUGUUUGGAAGGAAAUGACUUGGGACAAAGCCUAAAUGCAAAGGAAAGUUGUAGAAGGUUUGUGAAAGGAAAUCUUCAGAAAAAGAAUUUUUUAAGUGUGGUCAUGACGGACUAAGAUUGAAAUGAAUUUUAAAAAGACACUGGUAUAGAAAGCUGGUUUUCUCUCUGUUCAAGGACAAAGUCUUUUUAGGUUAACUGAUCUGCUUUUAAGAAGAAAAUGCAAACAGUUGUUUCCUCUUUGCCUGUCCAGAAAAACCAUUUUCUAUAUUUUGCCUAUAUUGGGUCUUUAUAAAUAUCCCUAAUUAUAUUUAGGCAUAUGCUUUAAAACUUUCUAAGAUUUUAACAAGUGUUGACAAGAUUUAAAUUAUAAAUGAAGUCCAGACACAUUUCCAUUGGUCUGGGCCUGCCUGGAGGCCCUCCUUUUUCUCUUCUGCUGAGUAAUGGCUGCCCCUGAGACCCAGAGGGUUGCUGCCGGAGGGGAGGAGGGGAGGGGCACGUGGAGCCCAAACGACAACCAAGGCGUUUUAUUCGCAGAUUAGGCCCAGGACUGCAGUCCGGAGGGUCUCCUUGGCCUGUGCCCCUGGCAGCCCACAUCUGGCAGAGAAGCCGGUUCUCUGCUUGGCGCCUGCCCUGCAGAGUGGGGGAUGGAGGGUGCUUUUGGCUUGUCGGCUCCCACACAGGCCCCUUGUUGGACAAGGGAUUGACCCCUUAGUGUGUAUGGCUUC